UAUAUGUUUAUAAAAAUAAAAUUUAAUACAUAAAUUGUUAACGGUAGAUACAGAAUUUUUGUAUAAGGGUUCACAAUGCAAUAUGAACCCUGGUCCAUGGUAUAACAAUUGAGUAUUAUAGUUAAUGUGUGUUGUGUUGAUUGAUGAUGAUUGAGCAAGCUGAUGAAUGCCUGCAUGCAAGGGUGAAUAAUUGAAGUCCAGUUGUGUUGAUGGGAUGAUUACAAAUUAAUAUUCUUGGAAUGAAAUGUAGGUAUAUGCUCAGGAACUGCUCAUCUAAGGCUAAUGCCAAAGCAUUUUUGUGUCCUCCACUGAUAAAGAAGACUUGAGUUCUGCCAUAAUCUUGAGAGCAAGUGUUUUUUGUAGGAAAAGUACUUUAGGUAUACUGUGGAUGGAUGAAAACUGAAAAGUGCUUCAGUUUAGACUUAAAAGAAAGAUGCAUAGAUGAUGAUGAUGUUACAUGAACAGAAGUGACUAAAAAGUGCACCACGGGACUUAGCUCAAUGAUUCAAGGGUCACCGUAAAAGUCUUGUUCCAGUGGCAGGGUGGAGAUUUGAUUCCCACUGAAGACAUAAUCAGAGGUAAUAAAGACUUCUUGUGCGCAGAGUGGACAUAAAAGGGUGAACACAAUUUAGCACUGAUUGGGCGACUCACGAUUUACCUCCUCCAGUGCCCUUAUAAUCAGAGGUAAUGAAGAUUUCUUGUGUGCAAAGUGUACAUAAAGGGGCGAAGAUUUCUUGUGUGCAGAGUGUACAUAAAGGGGCGAAAACAAUUGAGCACUGACUGAGCGAUUCACGAUUUAUCUCCUCCAGCACCCUUGGGUAGGGAUUUUGAGGACUUGGGAGAAUG